ACUGAUGUAGUGCUAGCUAUGGCGUGUGUAGUUUCAGAAUUUAACGAGCAUUUUGCUGUACUCAAGGCUCCAGUGGAAGAACCAAAUCAGAAUUGAGAAGCAUUUAAAAAUGGGUUCACUGAUAUUGGGUUUACAUGGUUUGUGGUGGUGGCGAGAGAUGGGUUGCGUGCCCAGUGCCGUUUAGUCUUCGAUUCCGUUGUCCUAUGCAUAAUUAUUAUUAUUAUUUGUUUCGUACUGAAACAGAUUUUUCGUGUUUCUGUAUUUUUAUUAAUAUCGAGUAUUAGGCAAUACAUCUUCAAGACAACACAAAUCUUAACCUAGGUACAGUAAGGUUCGAUCUCGCCUGUAGACGGCCGACUAGCCAACCAGAAGCUUGCUGAGCAACCCCUCCAAGCAUACGGGCAGAGAUCGCCGUCGUAUAGUAACUUAGCACACGCGUUCCGCGGCAGACAUUCUUUAUUAAAAAACAACAAAAAUUACCCAACGCAAGUCACGCGUAACCAUUAGAACCAGCGACAAUUGUUCAUCGUGUACCAGUCAAGGGACAGACGGUCCCACCUCCGGAAACGACGCUGAGCCCAGGGAGCGCGAGGCAGUGGAAGGAAGGUGAACCGGUAAGUCUUCAGACUUAUUUCGUUCCUUACUGUACAUAUUUUUUUUGGUCCAUUCGAACCGAAUUGCAUAGCGUGACCUUGUGUUGUCUUGAGUUGUAUUCAUUUUUAAUUUGUAAUAAAAUAAAAUUCACGAUAACCGCCAUUAACUCGCGCUGCUCCGUAGCCAUCAUGGCGGAUAUCGAACAAGAUUUGUUUGAACGCGAAAUAAUUCUUGACGAUAUCAAACGUACAUUACAAGUUGCUCAAAUUAAUGAACAACAAUUUAGAUCUCGUGUUGUAGACCUAACUUCUCAACACAGAAAGUUCUCAAAGUUACAAUCGAAAAUUGAAAAGCUUCUAAUCAAAUCAAAAUGUUUCGAUAAAGAUGAACAGCUUAAAAUUCGUGGUGAUUUUAAUGAUUGUUACUACGCCAUAAUUGCUCAUAUGAAUAGUUUGAAAAAAUCGGAUGAAGAGAGUAGACGGAUGAGUAUUUUAAAUUCUUCGUUCAAUGCUCAUAGCGGUGGUUGCGCAACCAAACUACCCACUUUGCCUAUGCCGUGUUUCAACGGGGAACCUACCGAGUGGCCCCCCUUUUAAGAUUUAUUUCGUUCGUUAGUGCACGACAGUGAUGCCUUCACCAACACGGAGAAAUUCCGUUACUUACUUUUAACUUUAAAAAAUGAGCCGUAUAAUUUAAUAAAGUCACUACCGAUAACAGAGGACAACUACUUUGUGGCUUUGAACAUUUUAAUUUCUCGGUAUGAUAAUAAACGGGUGAUCGCAGUGAAACAUAUCGACAAAAUACUCGAUAUCGAACCUUGUUCCGAAAGAAACAUUCUUACUUUGCGUAAUUUACUGAACGUAUAUCAAGAAAAUAUAAAAGCGUUGGAAGUUAUGUCAUUGCCUACGAAAAAAUGGAGUUUUUUAUUAUUGAACAUCCUACUGCGUAAAAUACCACCAUCAAUACGUAAGAGGUUCGAGUUAUCUCUAAUACAACCAUGCGAUAUUCCAGACAUUGACACGUUAAUAAACUUCUUAGAACGUGAGUUAUCUGCAUGCCAGUUUUCAAACUCAAAUUCAGUUAGUUUAAAUACAAAUGAUAAAAUGGUCGCACAUGGGGGUAGUUCUCGAACAUUACCGCAAAAUGCAUCGCGUGUUGUUUCUAAGUCAAGCGAAGCCACCUUAGGUACGCGACGUUCAUUUGCCGCUAGCGUCAUUCAUGACGUUCCCUUAAGAAAUAAAAACACGAAGAACAAUAUAUGUUUAUGUUGUGAGGCUCAGCAUACGUUAAAUAAAUGCAGCAAAUUUCUAAAUUUAUCUCCGCGUGAUAGAUAUUCUUUCAUUCAAAAUAAAAACGUUUGUUUUAAUUGUUUAAAUGUCGGUCAUGAUGUGAAACAAUGCAAGUCCAAUUUUGUGUGUCGCUCGUGUCAAAAAAGACAUCACACUUUGCUUCAUUUUGAUUCUCAUCGUUUGUCGGUUACAGUAAAUAGUGGUAUGACAGAAAGUAGUUCUGCAUCUCUCUCGCGCAACGAGUCAUCUCAAUCUGACGUAGCCGCUCAACACGUCAUGACCGCGGUGAAUCACACACAGUCUACUGCAUCGUAUGUUCGGGAUACAGUUUUGUUAGCCACAGCGCUCAUCCAUGUAUGUGUGACUCCGCGUAUUAAACACAUCGUUCGAUGUAUUGUAGAUAGUGGUAGUCAGGCGACAUUUAUCACAGAAGCUUGCGCGCAGCGUUUAAAUUUGGCGCGUAAAUACACUAACGUUCCGGUGUUCGGUGUGGGUGAUAGUAAGCCUGUAUACCCGAAUGGCUGCGUAACGUUUUGCGUUACCCCUCGUAAUGGGGAUCAGCCUUCGAUCCCGGUUGAAGCAUUAAUUUUACCAAAGAUUGUUUUACAAAAUAUGCCAAGUGUUUCUUUACCUUUCACGGAAUGGCCUCAUAUACAGAAUAUUACAUUAGCUGAUCCCAACUUUCAUAGUCCACAACCAGUGGAAAUGCUUUUAGGUGCGGACAUACUGUCCCAAAUAUUAUUAGGCAAUGUGAUUACGGGACCACCUGGUUCGCCGAUAGCUAUAAAUAGUAUCUUCGGUUAUCUAUUGUUAGGUAGUCUUUCUUUCAAUCACAAUUCUUCCCCUGUUACUACAGGAAUACAAGUUUAUCAUUCAAGUUUUAGCUCAUCCUACGAUGACAUGGAACUAACAAAAUUUUGGGAAUUGGAGUCGUUGCCUGAAAGGAAAGGGUUCACUCCAGAUGAAACUUUGUGCGAAUCGUUAUUUGUUAGCUCACAUACUCGUGACAAAACCGGACGAUACAUAGUCCCCCUUCCGCUUAGACCGGAUUCCCCGUCCUUAGGUGAAUCCCGGAGUAUAGCUUUAGCUAGAUUAAAUAAAUUAGAAUAUCGUUUAGAACGUAAUCCUUUGUUAAAAAUGAAUUAUCACACGUGUUUAAAAGAAUACGAUGAUCUUGACCACAUGGAGUUAGUUAACACUCCAUCCCUGGUCCCGGACAAUUCGUAUUACAUACCGCACCACUGCGUGGUCAAAGAAUCGAGUACUACUACUCGAACGCGCGUUGUUUUUGAUACAGGUUGCAAAACUUCCAAUGGAAAGUCUUUGAAUGACAUAUUGUUAGUCGGUCCUAAAUUGCAUCAAGACAUAGUCGAUGUUUUACUAAAAUUUAGAUUAAAUUCUAUUGCUUUCACGGCAGAUAUAAAACAAAUGUACCGAAACAUUUUAAUACGCGAGUCGGAUCGCGAUUUUCAACGGAUCUUAUGGCGGUCAUCAUUAAAUGAACCCGUACGCGACUAUCGACUCCGAACAGUUACUUUCGGCAUUAGUUCUUCACCAUAUUUAGCACUACGCACGAUACGACAACUAGCUGUCGAUGAGCAGACGCGGUUCCCGUUAGCCUCCGAGGUCCUGAGGGACCAAGUGUUUGUUGAUGACGUGGUCACGGGAGAAAGUGACGAGUCACGUGCUUUAGUUUUACAACAACAAUUAAUUGGUAUUUGUCAAUCAGCGGGAUUCGAACUGCGAAAGUGGUGCAGCAACUCGCCCGCGAUACUCGCGGCAGUUCAGACGCCAAGUCUUCACGGUGAGCGGCAGGACAACAUAUCCUUCGCUUCCAUGGAAAAUGAUAUGCAAAUCAAAGUCCUCGGUCUGCAGUGGAACCCAAAGCUUGACGUUUUUUCAUUUUCUGUUCAAGUACGAACCGAUAAAAUAACAAAACGUGCGAUUCUUUCUCAAAUAGCGAAAAUUUAUGAUCCCAUGGGUUGGCUCGCUCCUGUCACUUUAUAUGCCAAACAUUUAAUACAAUUAUUAUGGUUAUCAAAAGUUGGCUGGGACGACCCACUGCCCGUGAAUAUAGCAAACGCGUGGUCGACCUUUAUCAAUGAGUUACCACUCUUAUCGCAAUUAGAAAUUCCACGUUAUGUUUUGCCAAAUACAUAUGCUGUCCAAAUUCAUGGGUUUUCGGACGCAUCCGAGAAAGCAUAUGCUGCUAGCAUUUACCUACGUCUUACGAACUUACAACAUAAUGUUAGAUGCUUUCUUUUAAUUGCAAAAACUCGCGUGGCGCCUAUCAAACCGGUUUUGACGAUACCACGCUUAGAGUUAUGUGCGGCGGUAUUAUUGUCUCAGCUGUGUGAGAGGGUGCUAUGUAUUUAUAAAGAUCGUGUGAACUGCCAAGAUAUAUACGCAUGGUCAGAUUCUUCUAUUGUGUUAGCGUGGCUUCGAUCACCACCUCAUGCAUGGAAAACUUUCGUGUCUAAUCGAACGAGCGAGAUACUCUCACGACUUCCAGCAAGGUGCUGGCGUCACGUUCCAUCUGAGGAUAACCCAGCAGAUGCUCCAUCUCGUGGGAUGCUUCCUCAAACAUUUCUAAAUAAUGAAAGGUGGUUUAAUGGCCCGCCCUGGCUUGCCCGAGAGCCGUCUUACUGGCCCACGAACAAAAACAUUCCUAAUACUACGGAGGAAAGACGUAAUUUAACAGUAAUGCUGAAUUCAGUAAUAACACAACCGGAGGACGUGGAAUACAUAUCACGCUUUUCCACGUUAGGUAAACUCGUUAGAAUUACAGCUCGAAUAUUUCGUUUUUACAAUAAUUGUAAGCGAAUAAAAAAAUCCUAUCCUGAUUUUAUUACGGUGUCCGAGUAUGAGUUUUCUUUAAUGAAAUUAAUUCACAGAGUUCAGUUAUUUUAUUUUUAUGAGGACAUAAAAAAUAUUUCACAGGGAAAAUAUCCUUCAAAUAAACUCAGACGUUUAAAUCCCUUUCUUGACAAAGACAAUAAUUUACGAGUAGGAGGACGACUUCACAAGUCGAUUUUGAAUUUUGAUUCUAAGCACCAGUUGAUUCUACCUAAAAAACAUCAUUUAACUUUUUUAAUAAUCGAUAACGCUCAUAUCACAAAUUUGCAUGCCGGAUCUCAAUCUGUUCAACACAUUUUAUUUCAAAGAUUCUGGAUCUUAUCCAGUCGCAAUAAAUGGUUUCAAAAUCGCGGACCACUCAUACGUGAAGGCACCAUUGUCGUGGUACGCGACGAUAAUCUUCCUCCGUUACACUGGAGACUGGCUUGCGUACGCGCUCUUCAUCCCGGGUCUGACAACGUUACUCGUAUAGUAACUGUUCAAAUCGGUAAAACCUUCGUUAAACGUGCAGUAGUCAAACUUUGUCCACUUCCAAUAAACUAACUUUUUUAUUAUUAUUAUGUCACUCAUUGUUUUUUCUUUUAUUUUUGUUAGUACUUUUAAUUUUCACACAUACGUGGUUGAGUUAUUGAGAGUUUAAAUUCCUUCAUAAGUAGUGUUAAAACAAUUUCAUUAUUUUAAGGUGAGCGGCAUGUUUCGUACUGAAACAGAUUUUUCGUGUUUCUGUAUUUUUAUUAAUAUCGAGUAUUAGGCAAUACAUCUUCAAGACAACACAAAUCUUAACCUAGGUACAGUAAGGUUCGAUCUCGCCUGUAGACGGCCGACUAGCCAACCAGAAGCUUGCUGAGCAACCCCUCCAAGCAUACGGGCAGAGAUCGCCGUCGUAUAGUAACUUAGCACACGCGUUCCGCGGCAGACAUUCUUUAUUAAAAAACAACAAAAAUUACCCAACGCAAGUCACGCGUAACCAUUAGAACCAGCGACAAUUGUUCAUCGUGUACCAGUCAAGGGACAGACGGUCCCACCUCCGGAAACGACGCUGAGCCCAGGGAGCGCGAGGCAGUGGAAGGAAGGUGAACCGGUAGAAAAACGUAAAGCCUUUAUUUGUCCGCUGUGCGACGAGAGAGUGAGCUACGGGUCGAAUUUCAGUGCGCAUUUAUUGCACGUGCACAGAGUACACGAACACGUUGAGCAACUAGAGUUCCACG